GAGGUUCUUUUUCUGAGAUCAUCCUGAAAAGGGGCAGUCAAGAAAAUUCAUUCAUUCUUUGAUUUUUAAUAUUUUUUUUCUUCAUUUUGUUGAAAAAUUUGACGUCAUUUUCUUGUGUUUUGCUGACUUUUGGAGUCUCAAUUUAAACCUUUGUUUCAUCAUUACCUACCUGCAUUUAAUUUUUUUCUUUUGUAUAUUCUGAAAC
rnacentral:misc_RNA from 1 species